rnacentral:rRNA from 1 species
UAAGGAAUAUUGGUCAAUGGACGCAAGUCUGAACCAGCCAAGCCGCGUGAAGGAUGAAGGUCCUCUGGAUUGUAAACUUCUUUUAUCUGGGACGAAAACGGGAUUUUUAUCUCAAUUGACGGUACCAGAGGAAUAAGCACCGGCUAACUCCGUGCCAGCAGCCGCGGUAAUACGGAGGGUGCGAGCGUUAUCCGGAUUUACUGGGUUUAAAGGGUGCGUAGGUGGGCUUAUAAGUCAGUGGUGAAAUCUCCGAGCUUAACUUGGAAACUGCCGUUGAUACUAUAGGUCUUGAAUUAUCUGGAGGUAAGCGGAAUAUGUCAUGUAGCGGUGAAAUGCUUAGAUAUGACAUAGAACACCAAUUGCGAAGGCAGCUUACUACAUAUAAAUUGACGCUGAGGCACGAAAGCGUGGGGAUCAAACA